GAUGAACGCUGGCGGCGUGCCUAAUACAUGCAAGUCGAGCGAACAGACGAGGAGCUUGCUCCUCUGACGUUAGCGGCGGACGGGUGAGUAACACGUGGAUAACCUACCUAUAAGACUGGGAUAACUUCGGGAAACCGGAGCUAAUACCGGAUAAUAUAUUGAACCGCAUGGUUCAAUAGUGAAAGACGGUUUUGCUGUCACUUAUAGAUGGAUCCGCGCCGCAUUAGCUAGUUGGUAAGGUAACGGCUUACCAAGGCAACGAUGCGUAGCCGACCUGAGAGGGUGAUCGGCCACACUGGAACUGAGACACGGUCCAGACUCCUACGGGAGGCAGCAGUAGGGAAUAUUCCGCAAUGGGCGAAAGCCUGACGGAGCAACGCCGCGUGAGUGAUGAAGGUCUUCGGAUCGUAAAACUCUGUUAUUAGGGAAGAACAAAUGUGUAAGUAACUAUGCACGUCUUGACGGUACCUACUCAGAAAGCCACGGCUAACUACGUG
rnacentral:rRNA from 1 species